AUUAGAAGAUCAUGGCUCAGGACGAACGUUGGCGGUGCGCUUAAUGCAUGCAAGUCGAGGGAGAACCAUUCGUUUCGUAAGAUCCGGAUGGGGAAACCGGCGAACGGGUGCGUAACACGUGAGGAACCUGCCCCGAAGACCGGGAUAGCCCGGGGAAACCCGGAUUAAUACCGGAUACCCUCAUCGGACCGCAUGGUCUGAUGAGGAAAUGGUCAGCCGCUUCAUGGCCUCGCGGUCUAUCAGCUUGUUGGUGAGGUAACGGCUCACCAAGGCUAAGACGGGUAGCUGGUCUGAGAGGACGAUCAGCCACACUGGGACUGAGACACGGCCCAGACUCCUACGGGAGGCAGCAGCAGGGAAUAUUGCACAAUGGGCGAAAGCCUGAUGCAGCGACACCGCGUGCGGGAUGAAGGCCUUCGGGUUGUAAACCGCUUUCAGGAGGGACGAAAAUGACGGUACCUCCAGAAGAAGGCCCGGCCAACUACGUGCCAGCAGCCGCGGUAACACGUAGGGGCCAAACGUUGUCCGGAUUUAUUGGGCGUAAAGGGCUCGUAGGCGGUUCAACGAGUCGGUCGUGAAAACCCGGGGCUCAACCCCGGGACGCCGGUCGAAACUGUUGUGACUAGGGUCCGGUAGAGGUGAGUGGAAUUCACGGUGUAGCGGUGGAAUGCGCAGAUAUCGAGAGGAACACCAGUUGCGAAGGCGGCUCACUGGGCCGGUACCGACGCUAAGGAGCGAAAGCAUGGGGAGCAAACAGGAUUAGAUACCCUGGUAGUCCUUGCCGUAAACUGUGAACACUAGGUGUGGCGGAUCUAUUGAUGUCUGCCGUACCGUAGCUAAUACGGC
rnacentral:rRNA from 1 species